AGUCAGGUUCUAUUCAGAACCAUCAACAGUGGUUGUUAAACUAUAU
rfam:Mesocricetus auratus contig144002, whole genome shotgun sequence.